GUUGGAAAGCGGGUUAAAAGCGCGGUGUUGUGGGUGUCGGUAACUGCAGUGAUUUGUGGGCUUGUGUUGGGAAUUUUAUAUGAUUUCAUGGAGGACCCAUAUGUGGCAGCUGACGGGUACACAUACGACCGGAACGCGAUAGAGAAGUGGCUCAUGGAAAGCGACAUGUUGCCAAUUAUCUUAUGAGACAGGGUUAUGAGAUUUGCGUUUGAGUUCCAGAUUUGAAGUUGGUUUCAAUCCAGAUACCAUAUUUGAAGUCCGUUUCGGUUCUAGAUUUUUGUUGUGGAGUUUAAAGUGUAUAUGAGAUUUGUAUUAGAUUUUGUUCUAAGUAUACUAGAAUUUAGUUCUAGAAUUAUUUUUUCACUUGUAUCUAAAUUUAUUAUCAAUAAUAAUUGAAUUGAUUAA